GUGCUUGGUUCAGUAGGACAUACACUAAAAUUGGAACAAUACAGAGAUUAGCAUGGCCCUGGUGCAAGAAUGACAUGCAAACUUGUGAAGUGUUCCAUAUUUUU
rnacentral:snRNA from 1 species